rnacentral:rRNA from 1 species
CCUACGGGUGGCAGCAGUGGGGAAUAUUGCGCAAUGGGCGAAAGCCUGACGCAGCGACGCCGCGUGAGGGAUGAAGGUCCUCGGAUCGUUAACCUCUGUCAGCAGGGAAGAACGGUCACUGUGCUAAUCAGCAGUGAAUUGACGGUACCUGCAAAGGAAGCACCGGCUAACUCCGUGCCAGCAGCCGCGGUAAUACGGAGGGUGCGAGCGUUAAUCGGAAUUACUGGGCGUAAAGCGCUCGUAGGCGGUAUGUCAAGUCAAGGGUGAAAUCCCCGCGCUCAACGUGGGAACUGCCUUUGAAACUGGCAAACUGGAGUGUGUGAGAGGAUAGUGGAAUGCCAGGUGUAGGAGUGAAAUCCGUAGAUAUCAGGAGGAACAUCGGUGGCGAAGGCGACUAUCUGGCACAUAACUGACGCUGAGGAGCGAAAGCGUGGGUAGCAAACAGGAUUAGAUACCCCAGUAGUC